CAAAAUCAACCAAUAAAACAGGGUUUGGAAACUUGAUGACAAAGUGCUUACUUUUGCCCUAUAAGACUGCAGCCAGUAGUUGUGAAAGAAACAAAAAAGUGAGACAGUUGUAAAACUGUCAUCCUUUCAUUCGUUCACAGUUCCACAUUUUGGACUCAAAGAAGUCAGAGAUGCAACCAUGUCUUUUGUUGUGAUGGUGGCACUGCUGUUCUGUUCUGAGACACUGGAUAGGAAACUUUCUAAUUAAACGUAAAUAUCAUUGUGAUUUAUAACUUGUUCAUUUAAUAGAGCAUCGGGGCAGAACUGACUAUGCACAUGGUUAACCUAUAUGAACGUGGAAUUGAAGUGGUAUGGAAGAAAAGAUGUUGUUUUUUAUCUGUUUUUACUUCAUUGUUUGAAUUCUAAAAGUAGAUUUGUCAGGAUACAUGAUGUUAUGGGGUGCCGUCUGUAAAGUGAAACAUGCUGAAAUUAACGGCAACAUUUUUCCACAUUUAGCUCAUACCUUACAAAAACAUGUUUUUUCAAGACAUUUUUUACAACAUUUAGUAAAAUAUUUGUAACUUUUUAUAUUUAAAACACAAUUUUAAAUGUUAAAUCUAAACGUUAAAUCUCAAUAUUAUAUUUAAAUCUUUCUUAACUCAGGAUUCAAAUCUAACAUGAAUGUUCACUCAUGUACUGUAUGUGGGCCAUAAAUACUGACAAGAUCUAUUCAAUUACUAGUCAGUACAUUUACCAAAUUUAUUAUACGGAGAAUUAAAUAUAGAAAUUUAAGAGCCGUGUACUUUUUUCCAAAUAUACACAACAAUGAAGAUGGAAGUUCUUAAAAUUAUUUUAAAUUCUUUUCAAAUGAAUUCUGAAGUUAAGAAAUUUUAGAAGAUUCAUUGACUAUAUACCUGUUGUGUUUGAUUUGUAGAGUACUGUCAUAUUUACUGUUUUAAAGGGUCACAUCCUGUGUUUGGAGAGGAGGAUAAUAUAACUCAUGAUCUUGUGGAGGCUGACUUUGAUAUUAGUGACUGGACUGCAAUUGCAAAUCUGAGCGACAUGUUCAUGGAAACUGGAGACUAUUAUGAUUAUGGUGACUGGCAGUGGAAAGCAGAUCCUUUGUCUCCAGUUAACCUGACAGUGGACUCAGUGUCCAGCAGCUCAGACUCCUGUAACCUUACUGUGAGCUGUAGUACAAAUUACUUUGACAUCAUCAGCAUUUUUAAAUGUGAUAGCAAAACCUGCUAUCAAGAGGGAGGAGAACAAAGAGAGGAAAUGUGGUGGCCCACUGCUUUUUUUCAUGUCUACCUGUCAGAUAGAUCCAUCAUAUGUAACCAUAGCAAUACAGUAAAUUGGACCAAGGACAUGAUAGAGAUGGAUCAUUUUUGCCCUCAAAAUACUGGCUCUGAGAGUUUCUCUGACGGUGUCUCCUUCUGUAUGGUGAAGACAGUCGUGUUCUCUGUUGGUCUGAUCAUCAUGGUCUUUGCUGUCAUCAGUGUUCACCUCAUAGAGAAACUUCAGAUGCAAAACUAAACAAGUAGUUCUCUGUGAACCAGUUUCACAGAUCACACACACACACACACACACAAAAAACAGUUCACUUGCUGUUAAUUUCAUUAACAUCAAAGCAGCUGAAACAGAUUAACAACCCCCCUGCUGCUUAACUGAUGACAUCACUAUCCUAAUUGUUUAAUUGACUGGAUAUUUAGAAAGGAAUGUAGGGAGUAAUGGGGGGAGACAUGUGGCAAAGGGCCGCUACAUGUGGCAUGUGGCUGCCUGCUGAGCUAAACUGGCACCCAAAUUUAGUUUUUUACUAAUUUAAUGUAAAAUAAGCAAUUUUUUCAUAUUCUGUUAGAGAAAUUAAUGAGUGACACAGUUUGGAUCUGUUUUGAUUUUGUGUGUGUGUGCGUGUGUGUGCGUGUGUGUGUGUGGGGGGGGGUGUUUGUGUUGCAGGUUGUGAGUCUUUAUCAUCUGUGUGGUGAAGAUAGUCGUAUUUGCAUUUGGUCUGAUCAUCGUGUUGCUUGUCAGCACUGUAGAGAAAUUUAAGAAAGAAAAAUAAACAGUGCAAACUUUAAGCUAUAACUUUUUUUGAAGGGAUCUGUGUUUUCUUUAAUUUAUACAGUGCAAAGAGAUCAUCAAUAUCAUUUUGAAAUUUCAGGAAUUUGCAAAUGUUUUAUGAGAAUUGCAGUACAUGUUUUAAAAUCGCUAAUAGAAAAUUCACUUAUCACAUUUUCAUUUUACACAUUUGAAUGUCAAUGCAAAUUUGCUUUAAAAGAACUCCACAAAGCAUUUAUGAUAAAUGUGCUAAUUAUUUUUGAUGAAAUAAUCAAAAGUCAAGACUCUGCAUCACAUUGUGAAUAAAUGCUUGUUAAUCCUGAUAAA
ensembl:lncRNA